rnacentral:sRNA from 17 species
CUGGGCAUUAACUUAACUUCUCACAUGCUUCGACACAUGGUUCUGGGUGCCCGAAAGGGGUUGGAUCAUGGGAAGUGUGGAGGCCUAAC